AAGAAUCUUUGAAGAGUUUAAACCUUUUCCAUGGAGGGGUUGCUGAUAAACAAGCUGGAAAAUACAGUGGUGGGAUGAAGAAGAGGCUUAGUGUUGCAAUUUCAUUAAUUGGGGACCCCAAAGUUGUUUAUAUGGAUGAGCCAAGUACUGGAUUAGACCCUGCUUCAAGAAAAUGUUUAUGGAAUGUUAUCAAGCUUGCAAAAUAGGAUCGUGCAAUCAUUCUGACAACACAUUCUAUGGAAGAGGUGGAGGCCUUAUGCGAUUGAUUAGGAGUAUUUGUAAUUGGUAACUUGCAGUGCAUUGGAAAUCCAAAG